GUGCGAACCCAACAUGCCCAAGACCAAUUAUCUCCUCUUGGGUAGCAGUACAUUUGUCUGUGAACAUGAGAAAAAGGCAUCUAAGGCAACAGAGCUGAUAUUGCAAAGCAGACUAGGAGUAAGUAAAAACAAACAUCUGGCUCUUAUUCUUGUGUGUGUGUGUGUGUGUGUGUUGGUUAGAGUUCUCUAAAGGAGCAGACUCA
rnacentral:lncRNA from 1 species